rnacentral:rRNA from 1 species
GUUGACCUCGAAUCAGGUAGGAAU